UGCCUUGUUUGAGGAAGAGAUUGUUGUAUAUAUGCUCACUGGCUUGGAUGCAGAUUAUGACCCAAUUGUGACAUCGCUCACCAACUAAAUCUGAACCAGUAGGCCUCAGUGAUGCAUAUGCUCACCUCCUCUUCUUUGAGA